CCCCUUCUCCCACUCCCUCGCGUGGCGCGGAGCACGUCCCCCCCUCCGCCUCCGCCGCCGCCGCCCCUCGCUCGCGGCGCGUCGCGUCACCCCCGCGCCCGUCCGUCUGACCGAAAGCGCCCGAAAGCCUCGCGCUGCCGACGAUUGUCGCGUUGCGUCGAUGUCGACAUCUCCAUCAUCGCCAACGUCGUCGUCAUCGUCUGAGAACUGAGCGGAUCCGACGCAAAGAUAAACGCAGAUAACCUUAUCCUGUUUCCGCAACAAGACCCGUGUUUCUCCAGCCGUCGUAUUGUCUUCGCAGGAUGUAUUCUUGAAAGGUUUACUAAUGAAAAGACCAGUGAUUGAUCAAGCAACGAUACAGAUGCGGUAUAAUUAACGUACAAUCUGCGAGUGAUAAAUCGAUCGGCGGAUAUUAUGUCUUUGUGUAUCGCGCCGUCAAAAAUACUCGACCGUAAUGUAUUUCAAGAAUGGAAAGCUCCCUCGAUCGCCCGGACGUUGGCAAAGAAAGAAAAGAUUGGCCGAUGGACGCAGAGCGAAUUAAUUUGCCGCUUUCUUGAGGAAGAAUGUGUGGCACAAUAAUUAUUGCAUCGCGCACGAUGCAUAAGGUUGACCGUGUUCGCUGCACACAUCGCGUGCAUCAGUCGGCCGACUUUUUCUCCGUUUUUCCUAAUGAGCGCCGGUUGCGCAUUCGACGUGUAUACAUAACUAUACGUACCGCAUAUAUAUGUAUAUGUAUAUAUCUUGUCGAGGAAGCAAUUUGCAGUAAAAGCGGCCGAUUGAGAUGAGACGAGAGCCAGCAAGAAAGACGCGGGACGGGAGCCGCACCUGCAUCGCUCUCGUCUCUUACGUGCUAUCCGAA